AUGCCUCCAGCCACCAGCAUGAAGACCCCUGCGUAAAGUACCCAGUACCUCAGCUGGCUGCCCAGAGGCUGUAGCCCCUAGAGAAUCCAUCCCAGCAUCAAGGCAGCACGGAGGGCCCACCUGCCAUGUUCUCAAAAGGGCUGUCCUUGCGCAUGCCAAUGCCGAACCCUGAGCGGAAGAACAGCUCGCCCGUGGUCACCAGGUCACACUUCUGCGAAGCCUCGAACUCCAGCACUGCCGAGUCCCAGAUGAAGGCGUGGAGCUUGCUGCCGGCAGAGAUGGAAUCAAAGGAGCCCCGCAUAGCCUGUUCACCCCACCCUGCUCACACCAGUACAGACACUCUUCACCUGUG